rnacentral:tRNA from 1 species
GGCUCAGUUGGUAGAGCAUGGUGUUUGCAACGCCAGGGUUGUGGGUUCGAUUCCCGC